rnacentral:rRNA from 1 species
AUACGGAGGGUGCAAGCGUUGUUCGGAAUUACUGGGCGUAAUGCGCGCGUAGGCGGUCUGUUAUGUCAGAUGUGAAAGUCCUCGGCUCAACCGGGGAAGUGCAUUUGAAACUGGCAGACUUGAGUACUGGAGGGGGUGGUGGAAUUCCCGGUGUAGAGGUGAAAUUCGUAGAUAUCGGGAGGAAUACCGGUGGCGAAGGCGGCUACCUGGACCAACACUGACGCUGAGGUGCGAAAGCGUGGGGAGCAAACAGGAUUAGAUACCCGAGUAGUCC